UGGGGAAUAUUGCACAAUGGGGGAAACCCUGAUGCAGCGACGCCGCGUGAGUGAAGAAGUAAUUCGUUACGUAAAGCUCUAUCAGCAGGGAAGAAAUACUGACCUUACGGUCAGCAGACGGUACCUGAGUAAGAAGCCCCGGCUAACUACGUGCCAGCAGCCGCGGUAAUACGUAGGGGGCAAGCGUUAUCCGGAUUUACUGGGUGUAAAGGGAGCGUAGACGGUGCGCCAAGUCUGGAGUGAAAUGCCGCAGCUUAACUGCGGAACUGCUUUGGAAACUGGCGAACUAGAGUGCGGGAGGGG
rnacentral:rRNA from 1 species